UACAGAGGUCUCAAGCGUUGUUCGGAUUCAUUGGGCGUAAAGGGUGCGUAGGCGGCUCGGUAAGUCGGGUGUGAAAUCUCGGAGCUUAACUCCGAAACUGCAUUCGAUACUGCCGUGCUUGAGGACUGGAGAGGAGACUGGAAUUUACGGUGUAGCGGUGAAAUGCGUAGAUAUCUGAAGGAACAUCAGUGGCGAAAGCGACUUCCUGGACCAAUACUGACGCUCAUGUGCGAAAGCGUGGGGAGCAAACAGG
rnacentral:rRNA from 1 species